AUUAGAACAUUUAUUGAUCACCAACAUAAGUCAUCUGAUAGUGCCCAAGCAAAUGCCAGGAGACAUGUGGCAGACAUGCUUAUAAAUAAUAAAUUCUCUGAAAUUCUUGAGUUUAUCAUGCUAUAUAGGGGUAGGGUUAUCUCAACUCAUCGGCUGAAUAAUGUUAUGUCAAAUUUGCACUCAGGGAAGCAGAUGUUGGGGUACUACAGCCAGAGUUUAGAAGAAGCUGGAAAAACCACAUCUUCUAAAGAACAGUGGACGGUGACAGCAGCCAGAGCCAAAGCUUCUGAAACCAGAGCCACAACCGUAGCCUCCGAGGCCAGAGCCAUAGCCCAGCCUGCGGAAGCUGCCGCAUCCGCAGCCAUGGCCAAAGCCCAGGCCACCAAAGCCUCUGUAGCCGUAGCCCAGGCCUCUGUAAUGGUUGCUGUAAUGGCACAUGGUGUCAGGGGUGGUGAGUCCGGUUUGCUGUUCAAAACCAGGUUCUGAGUGUGGAUUCUGUGGAAGGAGAGGGAG